CCUACGGGUUGCAGCAGUGGGGAAUCUUGGACAAUGGGCGAAAGCCCGAUCCAGCAAUAUCGCGCGAGUGAAGAAUGGCAAUGCCGCUUGUAAAGCUCUUUCGUCGAGUGCGCGAUCAUGACAGGACUCGAGGAAGAAGCCCCGGCUAACUUCGUGCCAGCAGCCGCGGUAAUACGAAGGGGGCUAGCGUUGCUCGGAAUGACUGGGCGUAAAGGGCGCGUAGGCAGUUUAUGCAGUCAGAUGUGAAAUCCCCAGGCUUAACCUGGGAACUGCAUUUGAGACGCAUAGACUAGAGGUCGAGAGAGGGUUGUGGAAUUCCCAGUGUAGAGGUGAAAUUCGUAGAUAUUGGGAAGAACACCGGUGGCGAAGGCGGCAACCUGGCUCGAUACUGACGCUGAGGCGCGAAAGCGUGGGGGGCAAACAGGAUUAGAUACCCGCGUAGUC
rnacentral:rRNA from 1 species